rfam:Gossypium arboreum cultivar AKA8401 contig_69424_1, whole genome shotgun sequence.
AAUUCGUGGUGUGGGCACUUUUGAAUUAGCAUCUUGAAAUGUUCACAUGCUUCGUGAAGGCUUUCUCUUUUUAUUGCUUAAACAUCAAAAUUUCCCUUCUUAACU